rnacentral:lncRNA from 1 species
ACAAGAGAAUCAGACCCCUAAUAUGACUGUUGUUGUGUGUAUAUAUUAAAAAUGAAGGGGCUGGUCAACAAUGGCAACAGAUGGGAGUAAGAAAUGAAUCAGAACAGCAGAGUUACCAAAUUUUCCUUUCUCCCCUACUCAGUUAGGUUCUAAUCUAUUGGGAAAGAGAAGCAUUUUGUAAUCAAUUUUUUAUUUUCUCUCCUACUCAGUUAGGUUCUAAUCCUAUUGGGAAAGAGAAGCAUUUUGUAAUCAAUUUUUUAUUAUUGGCAUCAUCAUUGUUUUUAG